rnacentral:rRNA from 1 species
GUAACAAGGUUUCCGUAGGUGAACCUGCGGAAGGAUCAUCAUUG